rnacentral:rRNA from 1 species
CCUACGGGUGGCAGCAGUAGGGAAUCUUCCACAAUGGACGAAAGUCUGAUGGAGCAACGCCGCGUGAGUGAAGAAGGGUUUCGGCUCGUAAAGCUCUGUUGGUAGGGACGAAAGAUAUAGGUAGUAACUGGCCUUAAUUUGACGGUAAUUACUUACACAGUGCCGGCUAACUACGUGACAGAAGCCGCGGUAAUACGUAGGUGGCAAGUGUUGUCCGGAUUUGUUGGGCGUAAAGCGAGUGCAGGCGGUUAAAUCAGUAUGAUGUGACAGCCUUUGGCUCAACCGGGGAAUUGCAUCAGAAACUGUUGAACUUGAGUGCAGAAGAGGAGAGUGGAACUCCGUGUGUAGCGGUGGAAUGCGUAGAUAUAUGGAAGAACACCAGUGGCGAAGGCGGCUCGCUGGACUGCAACUGACGCUGAGGCGCGAAAGCAUGGGUAGCGAACAGGAUUAGAUACCCUGGUAGUC